GAUUUUACAUAAAUUUCAGGUUGAAACACAACAAGGUAAAGGUAGUCGGUGAGAUAUAAUAAUAAUACAGUUAGUAAGGCUCGUACCCUGGGAACGGUAAAUAUACUAAAACAUACCCGGGAAUUUAAACACUAAAUCGGUUGUUGUCGGCUAUUUUGUAAAAAUUAAUUAUGUUUACAUUUAUGUCAAUUUUCUGUUAAAUGGCAUUUAUACAAUGUAUUAUCAAAACUCAUUUUUACAAUCAUUAAUGUGAUUCAAUUUAAAAUCUUAAAUUGUUUAAAGUCGCAUCAUUGUAUGACGUUGUCAAGUAUAUUUUCCGCGAUGUCGCACGUUCACUUUUUACCAUCAUAGAUUUUGUUAAAGAAACAUUUUUUGGUUUGCGAGGUCCGUUAAAUGGGGAACACCAUAUUUGGUAUUUAUAUUAUGUUUUAACAAAUAAUUCAUGCUGUGUAAUAAAUAUUGUAUAAGAUAUUUCGAUAUUUAUUGAAAAUGUUUCAAAUUGUUAUUUAUGAAACCUUUUAUUCUAAUGAGUGUAUGCUAUCAUAUUAUACUUCGAAUAGCAGAUCUGUUGUACUAUAAUCGUAUUAUUCAUUCUUUAUUGUUAAUUUCAUUUAUUGUAGAGAAUCGUCAAUGUUACAUCUAGUCGCCAAUCCUUGUCGUUAGUGUUAGUUUUCAAUGCUUGUUAUCAUUGCCGUCAAUGUUAGUCGUCAAUCCUUAUCGUCAUUAUACAUGAAGGAAAUAAAAGCAGAAACAGAGA